rnacentral:piRNA from 1 species
UUGUUCAAAAAUAGUAAAAUA